rnacentral:tRNA from 1 species
UGGGGUGUCGUCAAGUGGCAAGACACGGGGUUUUGGACCCCGCAUUCGGAGGUUCGAAUCCUCCCACCCCAGCCA